UACAGAGACCUCAAGCGUUAUCCGGAAUCAUUGGGCGUAAAGCGUACCGAUAGGUGGUUUAGAAAGUCAGAAGUGAAAUCUCAAGGCUCAACUUUGAGACUGUCUUUUGAAACUUCUAAACUAGAGGGGCAAAGAGGAAGCUGGAACGAACGGUGUAGUAGUGAAAUGCGUUGAUAUCGUUCGGAACACCAAUAGCGUAGGCAGGCUUCUGGGUGCCACCUGACACUGCUAGGACGAAAGCGUGGGGAGCGAAUGGG
rnacentral:rRNA from 1 species